rnacentral:lncRNA from 1 species
ACCAGCAAAAUUUCCACUCACGAUUGCAUUAGAAAACAUUGUUAGUGGUUCUUGAUCCUUAAUUUUGACCCUGCCUAUUUUGAUUUCAAAUGUAAUUUUCUUAUUAUCUUAAUUUGUUUAAUUUUAUUUUUUAAAAUAAAAGUUUUGUACUCGGUAAUACUUUUUAGGUGGUUUUCAAUAUUAUUACUCAAUCAAUAUCAAGUAAAUUACAUCAAUUUAAACUUUAAUGAGAAAAAUAACUCUUUUUGUGAAAUGAAUGAAGAAAAGUCUUGAAAAUAACUGAUGAUCGACCUUACGAGCGCAUGCAUGCAUGAAUGUGCAGUGAGUUAGGGUAGUGCUUAAAUUUUUCUGAACAACUUCCAAGUGUGUGAAGUGAAGGAGG